rnacentral:rRNA from 9 species
AAAUUGAAGAGUUUGAUCAUGGCUCAGAUUGAACGCUGGCGGCAGGCCUAACACAUGCAAGUCGAACGGUAACAGGAAGCAGCUUGCUGCUUCGCUGACGAGUGGCGGACGGGUGAGUAAUGUCUGGGAAACUGCCUGAUGGAGGGGGAUAACUACUGGAAACGGUGGCUAAUA